UUUUUUCCCUUCGCUUUAGUGCCUUUCACGCGCUUCUCUCUCACAGUUUUUAUUUAUAUUUCUUUCUAUACGGUUCGUUUCUUCGAACCCACAAACACCUCCAUAUCUCUCCCUCGCAUUUCUCUCAUUUUCACCAUUGCUGUUAGGGUUUUCUAUCUUCUCCAACCUUCCUAAAUCUUUGCCUGCUCAGAAUCGGUUUUGUGGUUUCGCAAUUUGGAGCUUCGCUCAUGAAAGCUAGGGUUUAUGGCUGAGAGUAAAAGAUACGUUCCAAAUCAACCAUUAGACCUUGACAGGAUAGUGACAGAAGCUCAACACCGUUGGCUUCGGCCAAAUGAAAUCUGUGAAAUACUUCGCAACCAUCAAAGGUUUCAGCUACGGUCAGAUCCACCUGCUAGGCCUCCAGCUGGUUCUCUGUUUCUGUUUGAUCGAAAAGUUAUUCGGUAUUUUCGUAAAGAUGGUUACCGGUGGAGGAAGAAGAAAGAUGGGAAAACUGUUAAAGAAGCUCAUGAAAAGUUGAAGGCUAACAGCGUGGAUGUUCUCCAUUGUUAUUAUGCCCAUGGUGAGGAAAAUGAGAACUUCCAGCGAAGAAGCUAUUGGAUGCUUGACGCGUGCUUAGAACACAUUGUUCUUGUUCAUUACAGAGAAGUAAAAGAGGGGUACAAGUCAGGUAUCUCUCGCUUGAUGGCAGAUCCGGGAUCACAGGCUGGAAGCCCUCAAAGUUGUUCAGUACCAUGCCCUGCAAACUCACCUGCCUCAACAGUUCAGACCUCUUAUCCAUCAAGUCCAAACAGAUUUGACAGAAAUGGACGAAGAUUAUCAUCAGAAUUUGAGGAUGUGGAUUCAGGGCGUGAUCCUCGAGCAUCUUCGCUUGCUCAACCUAUUUUUGGUUCUACAUCACACAGCACUUCUAUGCUUGCACAUGAAGUUGCGGGGUUUCCAGAAUUAACAAGGAAUUCCCCCGAUAUAUGGUUUUCUGGAUCUAAAUAUCAUGGUUCCGAAUCAACCAACUGGGCUGAAAUUAACAGCUUGAACGUCACAGAUGGUGUGCAUGGCCAGAAAUUUUUUAAACAUCCUACUGGAGCUGACUUUAUAACCCGUAGGUUAACGGAUGCUAGAUUGGAUACUGAUAGCUCUGUUCAAGAUGUUGUAACUUGUGCAAAUAGAUUGAUCACAGACAAAGACAACCAGACAUUGAUGGCUGCUUCUCAGGGAGUAGUUCAGGUGCCGCAAGAGCGUGGCUCCAAUUUAGUUCGUCCUCAGUUUCAGAAUUGUUCAGAUCCUCAUGUGGUAGUAACUUCAACCAUUCAUGUCGAAAAGAAAUCUGAAGAUGGUGGCAAAGAUAAUAAUGAAACUGUUGGGCUGAAGAAACUUGACAGCUUUGGGAGAUGGAUGGAUAAAGAAAUUGGUGGUGAUUGUGAUGAUUCCUUGAUGGGUUCAGACUCUGGCAAUUAUUGGAAUACGAAUACACUUGAUGCUGAAAACGACGAGAAGGAAGUAUCCAGUUUAUCACACCAUAUGCAGCUGGAGAUCAAUUCUUUGGGCCCUUCUCUUUCCCAACAACAGGUUUUUACAAUUCAUGAUUUUGCACCAGAUUGGACCUAUUCUGGGGAUACAACAGAGGAUACAACAAAGGAUAGAACAAAGGUUUUAAUUGUUGGUAAUUUUUUGGUAAGCAAGGAGCUAUCUAGCAAGAUUAAGUGGGGAUGUAUGUUUGGUGAGGUUGAGGUUUCUGCUGAAGUUCUGUCUGAUACUGUCAUCAGAUGCCAAACUCCUAAACAUGCUCCUGGACGUGUUCCAUUUUAUGUCACCUGCAGCAAUAGGUUAGCCUGCAGUGAGGUGAGGGAGUUUGAAUAUCGUGAAAAACCUUCAGGAAAUUUGUUUCCUAUGGCUAUUAAAAAUGCACCAGAAGAUGAAGCGCGCAUUCAAAUGCGUCUAGCAAAACUUUUAAAUUUGGCCCAGGUGAGGAAAUGGCUGGACUGUUCUAUUCAGGAUUGUGAUAAAUGUAAGCUUAAAAGUACCAUAUAUUCAAUGAGAUGUGACAGUGGGAAAGAUUGGGGAAGGGUUGAUGAGACUUCUUUGGCCUUCAAUAGUGAUCACAUGAACCCUAGAGAUAGAUUGAUUCAAAGUUUGUUUAAGGAUAGACUUUAUGAGUGGCUAAUCUGUAAAGUUCAUGAAGGAGGUAGAGGAACACAUGUUUUGGACAAUGAAGGCCAAGGUGUUAUACAUUUGGCAGCUGCUCUUGGUUAUGAGUGGGCCAUGCGCCCCAUAGUUGCUGCUGGUGUCGGUCCCAAUUUCAGAGAUGCACAUGGAAGAACUGGGCUUCACUGGGCAUCAUAUUUUGGGAGAGAGGAAACAGUCAUUACCCUACUUAGAUUGGGUGCUGCUCCGGGUGCCGUUGAGGACCCAACAUCAACAUCUCCAGGAGGAAAAACAGCUGCUGAUCUAGCAUCAAGUAGAGGACAUAAAGGGAUUGCUGGAUAUUUGGCAGAAGCAGAUCUAACCACUCACCUUUCUUCACUGACUUUCAAUGAAAAUGUAAUGGACAGUGUUGCUGCAACUAUUGCAGCUGAAAAGGCUAUUGAGACUGCAGCACAAAUUGUUCCAUCAGAUAUGUUAGCAAAUGAGGAUCCUUCUUUGAAAGGAUCUCUUGAUGCUGUUAGGAAAUCAGCUCAUGCAGCUGCUCUGAUACAUGCUGAAUUCCGGCUUCGAUCAUUCAAUCACAGACAAUUAACUAAAAGCAACAAUGAUAUUUCUGAAGCUUCUUCACUUGACCUAGUUGCACUUGGUUCUUUGACCAAGGUCCGAAAAUUUAGCAACUAUGAGGAUUAUUUGCAUACUGCUGCAGCUAUAAAGAUCCAACAAAGAUAUCGUGGUUGGAAGGGAAGAAAAGAGUUUCUGAAGAUACGCAAUCGUAUUGUGAAAAUUCAGGCUCAUGUUAGGGGACAUCAAGUUCGGAAGCAGUAUAAAAAGGUUGUUUGGUCUGUUAGUAUUGUGGAAAAGGCAAUACUGCGCUGGAGGCGGAAACGGUCUGGUUUGCGAGGAUUCCGAGUGGAAAAGGCAAAGAUUGAGAAAACUGAUGAGUAUGAAUUCUUACGAAUUGGCCGGAAACAGAAAUUUGCUGGAGUUGAGAAAGCUCUUGCUAGAGUCAGGUCCAUGGUUCGUUAUCCAGAAGCACGUGAUCAGUAUAUGAGGCUAUCUACCAAGUUUGAGAAUCUAAAGAUGGGUGAUGGAGGGAGUGGUGCAAUACUACAAGGUGAAAUUUCACAAAAGGCCAGUACAGUGGAAGAUUUGGCUGUGCAUUCUCAAAGGAACUUGCAUUUACAGCAGAUUGGUGAUUGAAGUUGUCAGGGCAUUUGAUUUGUCCACUGGUCGUCCUUUUUUUACCUGUAAGUAAUGUCUAACACGUUUUACUCGGAGGUUUUGUUGGAGGAGAAAGAGUGUUGGGGAAGUUGUAUAUGCCCUUUUCUUUUCUUUUCUUUUCUUUUCCCUCUCUCCUUUUCUUUUUCUCCGCAUGUAAACAGUAUUUAGUUACCUGGAAUACGGUUAAGGAAGCAGGCAGCUUUUAACUGGAAUAUGGGAUAUGCAAAAUGGCAACAUUGAAAAGUAUUGAUUACUGAAUACUGAUUAUGAUUUUUACAAAACACCUAUUAGAAGUUGAAAAUGGUGUUGGUGAUUUUUAUUCAGCACAUGGUAGGUGCAUAUGUAGUUAAACCUUUGACACAAUAUCAACUUUGAUUUAAUAUAUUCUUUAAUAGUGUGAUACUCUUUGCCUGAA